rnacentral:miRNA from 2 species
UUACCAUGUUGAUCGAUCUCCA